rnacentral:SRP_RNA from 13 species
GUUGGGCACAGUGGUAUGUGCCUGUAGUCCCAGUUACCCAGGAGGCUGAGGAAGGAGGAUCGCUUGAGCCCAGGAGUUCUGGCUCGUAGAGCACUGUGCCCAUGGGGUGUCCGCACUAAGGUCGGCAUCAGUAUGAUGACCUCCUGGUGGGAGUGGGGGACCACCAGGUUGCCCAAGGAGGGGUGAACCAGACCAGGUCAGAAACAGAGCAGGUCAAAACUCCUGUGCUGAUCAGUAAUGGGAUGGUGCCUGUGAACAGCCACUGCACUCCAACCAGGGGAACAUGGCAAGACCCCAUCUCUA